GACGAACGCUGGCGGCGUGCUUAACACAUGCAAGUCGAACGCUGAAGCUCAGCUUUUGUUGGGUGGAUGAGUGGCGAACGGGUGAGUAACACGUGAGUAACCUGCCCCCUUCUUUGGGAUAACGCCCGGAAACGGGUGCUAAUACUGGAUAUUCACUGGUCUUCGCAUGGGGGUUGGUGGAAAGGGUUUUUCUGGUGGGGGAUGGGCUCGCGGCCUAUCAGCUUGUUGGUGGGGUGAUGGCCUACCAAGGCUUUGACGGGUAGCCGGCCUGAGAGGGUGACCGGUCAGAUUGGGACUGAGAUACGGCCCAGACUCCUACGGGGGGCAGCAGUGGGGAAUAUUGCACAAUGGGCGCAAGCCUGAUGCAGCGACGCCGCGUGAGGGAUGGAGGCCUUCGGGUUGUGAACCUCUUUCGCUCAUGGUCAAGCCGCAACAAUGGUUGUGGUGAGGGUAGUGGGUAAAGAAGCGCCGGCUAACUACGUG
rnacentral:rRNA from 1 species